rnacentral:lncRNA from 1 species
GAAAAUUGGAUAGCUGAUUUAUCCCGGAAAGUUCACUGGAAAAAAUUUCCACAUGUUGACCAAAGACCUAAGUUCCAGUAGCCAACAUAAGUUCAGACUCAGAGGGCCACUUUGAAACCCC